AAGUGGAGAAAAAAAUGGAACAACUCUCAGGUGAACUCCCUGGCAUAGGCAGGAGUGGAGGAGUGCUGCCACUGCCAUCAUCUUGGAAGAUGGUGUGUGCUUCUUGCUGCAGGAGACCAGUGCCCCUUUUUACCUCAUUCUGUUAAGGAAGGUCUGUGCAAAUCUUUUUCUAGGAUCUGUGUCGACUGCUAGAGCUGGUGUGAAGUUAAAAGUAUGGGCAGCAGUGAUCCAGCCAGCUGGGGUUUUGAAAAGAAACCUGUAAUGCCAAAUGUGAAUGCUGAGCAGCUGACUCUGUUAGUACCUGUCAGACUGGGCGGAUCAGAAAAUGCAGCAGAGGCAUCCACUCUUGGCCACAGUUGACAAGGAGAUACCAGUGCUGACAGAUCUUUUGCCUGACAGAUGUAGCUGCUCUUGCAGGACUGCUGUGAGUGGUAAACAUGCCCAUCUGUGCUGUGAAGCUGGAG